UCUGAAUGUGGUUUGUUUGGACGUUUCUAUGUGAAUGUGGUUUGUUUGGACAUUUCGUUGUCGUGUGCGCGCAUGUCAUUAGGCUGAUGAUACACCUUGGAUUGAAUCAGAUCCCUGACUUCCACAUAAUGAAGCGGUGGACAAAAUCUUCUAGGGACAUUUUGGGUCCAAGUGUUGAGGGCCCCAAAGAGACGGAGUUGUCAUUGCCAAAGUCUUUUCGGCACAACAUAAUGUAUGUCAGCGCCCUGGAGGUUGUAAAAAUGGGUGAUUUAGCAGGCUAUUGUAGUUUUCUUGACCUUGUCUGUUGCAUUUUCAGAUGAACUCUGCAAUGCCAUAUCUUAGCUAUUGUAAGGGAUUUCUAUUGUAAUUUUCUUGACAUUUUCCGUUGCCAGAGCUUAGCUACUUUGUUGGUUGAGACAAGAGAUUGCUCAAUUAUGUGUUGUGCACUUUGCACAUUGUUA